rnacentral:pre_miRNA from 1 species
UUGCUACUCCCUCCGUUCGGAAUUACUUGUCACAAAAAUGGAUGUAUCUACAACUAAAAUACAUCUAGAUACAUUCAUUUCUUGGACGAGUAAUUCCGAACGGAGGGAGUACUUG